CGGCCUCCGGCCCGGCGGGCGGCGAGCUGGAGCCGCGCCAGCAGGUCGACGGUGGCGAGGCCCGGUGGCCCCAGGCCUCCGACGUCGC
rnacentral:tRNA from 1 species